GGGGAUGCAGCUCAGGGGUAGAGCACUUGCCUGGGAUGUAUGAGUUCCUGAGUUCAGUCCUCAGUAUCACAA
rnacentral:tRNA from 1 species